AGCGUGGGUAGCAAACAGGAUUAGAUACCCUGGUAGUCCACGCCGUAAACGAUGUCUACUAGUCGUUGGGGAACUUGAUUCNUUAGUGACGCAGCUAACGCAAUAAGUAGACCGCCUGGGGAGUACGGCCGCAAGGUUAAAACUCAAAUGAAUUGNCGGGGGCCCGCACNAGCGGUGGAGCAUGUGGUUUANUUNGAUGCAACGCGAAGAACCUUACCUGGUCUUGACAUAUCUAGAAUCCUGCAGAGAUGCGGGAGUGCCUUCGGGAAUUAGAAUACAGGUGCUGCAUGGCUGUCGUCAGCUNGUGUCGUGAGAUGUUGGGUUAAGUCCCGCAACGAGCGCAACCCUUGUCCUUAGUUACCAGCGGGUUAAGCCGGGAACUCUAAGGAUACUGCCAGUGACAAACUGGAGGAAGGCGGGGACGACGUCAAGUCAUCAUGGCCCUUACGACCAGGGCUACACACGUGCUACAAUGGUAGGUACAGAGGGCAGCUACACAGCGAUGUGAUGCGAAUCUCAAAAAGCCUAUCGUAGUCCAGAUUGGAGUCUGCAACUCGACUCCAUGAAGUAGGAAUCGCUAGUAAUCGCGGAUCAGAAUGCCGCGGUGAAUACGUUCCCGGGCCUUGUACACACCGCCCGUCACACCAUGGGAGUUGAUUGCACCAGAAGUGGUUAGCCGAACCUUUUAGGACGGCG
rnacentral:rRNA from 1 species